rnacentral:rRNA from 1 species
AUUGAACGCUGGCGGCGUGCUUAACACAUGCAAGUCGAUCGGUAACGCGGGGCAACCUGGCGACGAGAGGCGGACGGGUGAGUAACGCUUGGGAAUCUGCCUACUAAUGGGGGACAACCCGGGAAACUCGGGCUAAUACCGCAUACGCACUACGGUGGAAAGCCGGGGACCGCAAGGCCUGGCGUUAGUAGAUGAGCCCAAGUCGGAUUAGCUAGUUGGGUGGGUAAUGGCCUACCAAGGCGACGAUCCGUAGCUGGUCUGAGAGGACGACCAGCCACACCGGAACUGAGACACGGUCCGGACUCCUACGGGAGGCAGCAGUGGGAAUAUUGGACAAUGGGGG